ensembl:lncRNA
AUAAGAAUUCUUCUAACACACCGUCUGAAGGUGCACCUCUCUGAUGGGGGAGGGCAGUUCUUCCUGGUCAGAAGUUGGACCUGGCAUUUGAAAAUCUUGACUGCCUUGUUGAUACCACAGAAUGUGUCACCUGGGAGUCAGACACAUGAGUCCCAGCUCUCUGUCCCAGACUCCGUCUAUGGAACUUGGAUCUCCACCAAGAAAGAAGUAGAACCAAGCUGAGAAUCAUCUCUAGCUCUUGGAGGAUUCAUAGAGCUGCAAAUCAAGAGGCUAACAUCCCAGUGGUUGAGCUCAGCCAGCAGAUUCUUAAUCAUAAAAUCUAUAGUUCCCCUGUCUGCAGCAGAGCAGACAAAUCCCUCAUUUUGAUGGAAAUGAGAGAGUGAAAUGUCCAGACAGCCUGACAAGAGAGGCAGAGAGCUUCCUUCCCAACGUUUAUUUUAUCCUUUCUCAGCCUUCUUGCUUAUCCUCUCUACCCCUCUCAACAAGAGGACGAGGCAUAUAACCAAAAUCUCAGGGCAAACUGUCCUGCAGCUCAUCAAGUGUGUCUUGCCAGACACCAGCCUAAUGAUUUUUGGACAAUUAGGACCAGCCCAAGCAGCCAGGGAUGGAGCAGACCUGCCGCGGACUCUGUCCCCUGUCUUGCCACUGUCUCUAUUGAUCAAGGAGCAUGGUCCCAGCCUCAGGAGUGUGCCUUUGCCAACUGCUCAGCAGGAACAAUCUGAACUCCGCCUUCCCUUUGCUCCGUGUACCUCUCGACAACCACUGGCCUUGUCAGUCAUGCUGAGCAGAGCCUCAAGAGUUGCCAAAUGAACUUGGCCCUGGGCCACCAAUGCUUCUUGAUUCAGAGGAGAUGAGAUGCUCAAAAGCUUUGAACUCAGGAGAAGAAGGGGCCUGGUCUUCUUUAAUAGUUUGAGCAUACCCUGCAGUGGGUUCACUGAAUUAUGUUGUCACAAGAUACUUACAAAAUAGAGUUCAAAUGAUGCCAGGUACUCUACCCACGAACAACUCAGUUGGCCAUACUUGCAAACCCAACCCUGUAGGACAGGAUUUGUAAAUGUUGAUGAGUAGUACCCAUCACUAUCACUGGUGGGUACUGGAGAUGGGCUGGUGGCUCCUGAGCAAGUCAAAGUGAAUUAACAGUCUUGUGAUGGCUAUCCUAAGGUAGUUUCCCAGACUUGAUGUUCUUCCAUGUCUGUGAGGGUAGGCAGGAGGAAAAGAGAGGCAUAGCUAAAUAAGUUUGGGAGUCUCAGUCACUUGGAUGAUGCCUCUAGCCUUAGAUUUUGAUCUGUCAGUGCACUAUAUUGGAGGAGAAAAUCCUUCGGGCAAGGACAUUGCUGCCGAGGAGCAGCCAGUGAAGGCUGCAGAGCUUGAACAACGGCUGAAAAGAUCGUAGUGAAAGAGGCUUCUCCUCUUAUCCUCUCUCCUUCUCCAAACUUCAUUGAUCGCCAGGGAACUCAGCCAAGAGGAUGGGAAUCAAAUACAUCUCAGCAACAAAAAAAGAGCAAGCUACUGAUACUUGCAACAACAUGGAUUAAUCUCAAAAACGUUAUAUUAAGGGAAGAGAAACAGACACAGAAAGUUCAGAUUGUUUCUUUUAUACAGAGUUCGAGAAGAGAGAAAACUAAUCCAUGUGACAGAAAUCAGAGCACGGUUGUCUUCGGGGGUGGGUAGGAAGGCGACAGGAGGAAACUUCGUAGAGUGACGGGAGCGUUCUUUGUUUUGGUCUAGGUGGAGUUACGUGAGUGCAUUGAGCUGUACACUUAGUUGUGCAUUUUAAUGUGUGUUGACUGUGCCUGAAUAAUGUACUGUCAGCAUUAAAACAGAGGAAGAUGGGGUCAGGAAAUACGAGAGAAGCUCUCUUAGCCAGUCUCUCCUUUCGAGUGUCACCGGAAGCCCAGUGCUACAGUUUCCUCCUGACUCGGCAAGGCCAGGAGGGUGGGCCACUCCCUCCCACACCUGCACGCUUCUGCGGCCUCCAGGAAGAUCAGCCCUGAGUUAACUGCUGCCAAUCCUCCUCUUUUCCUGAGGAAGGCUGGCCCUGAGCUGCCAUCCGUGCCUGUCUUCCUCCACUUUAUACGUGGGAUGCCUACCACUGCAUGGCGUGCCAAGCAGUGCCAUAUCCACACCUGGGAUCCGAACCGGCGAACCCUGGGUGGCCGAAGCGGAAUAUGCGCACUAAACCGUUGCACCACCAGGCUGGCCCCGAAUAUAUUUAUUGAUUGUCCCUUUGAACCAACUGUUUUGUCUAACUGACCAACGACCUGCUCAUGGAGCAGCAAUAAGGAGGCUCCUACUCUGAGAAGUCGAGAUUCAAGGAAGCAAAUGUACAGCUUCCCUAAAGCUAGGCAUUCUGAUGCUCUUUGCACGCUCAGAGCACAAGGCGAUGCAUCCAUCGUGUGAAUUCAUCUGUUGAACAAGGUGGCCCUGUAGUACCUCCUAUAACCUCAUUUCUGCUUCGUGUUUCAAUACAAUGCACACACUUGGCUCAGUGUGUCUGUACUGCAUUUGCACAGUGUUGCAUGUGAUACUCGGUCUUGCCUCCUUCCAUAUGACUCCUGUGUGCAGGGCACAGCUGGGGACAAGAUCAAGUGGAGUUGUCUGGCAUCCAUUCAGUUCUUAUCAGAGAGCAGCCUGCUUAUACGUUGGAGGGGGAUAUGCUAGUGACAGA